UUAAAUAUUUGUCCUUUUCUUUUUGUUUUGUAUUUUUCACAUGUUUAAUUUGUAUUUGAAUGUCUGAAAUAAAUUCAAUCAAUAGUUCCAGUUGUAUCUCAGUCUGGAGGGUUGCUGGUUCUAGUCCAGAGUGAUGCAGUGUUAGAGUGGUUUGAGAGUUAUAAGCUAAAUGGAUAAGAUAUUUACUUUUUGAGAAAUAAAAUGUUAAUCUGAGUCCAGCAGAAACAUUUCUGAUAGUAGAUAUAAUCAGUGGCAAGUUAAAUGUCCUGUGUUAAAAAGUGUGUUUCUUGUAUAACAUAGAGGAAAAAAAUCUGCCUACCACUUAAAAUCAAACAUGGAAUAUCAACUAUGAUGUUUUUAGUGUCAUCCACUGAGCCAUCACCGCUCAAAUUUGCUACAUGUUUGCAUGAAUUUUCCAUAAGGUGUAAUGCACUAGGCAGCGGGUUGACCCAUUCAAGAUGGCCUUCAGCCGACCGGAGCUCAACAUUGCCGUGACGUAUCUAGUGUUCUAUAUAUAUCUAUGUGUUAACAUGGCACCUUGACCUUUGACCCUCUUGCUCAUAUUUCUGCUGUGCAAAGGAUGGUGGGUCAGGAUAUCACAGAAGAACAUCCUGGUCCUCUUCACGACACUACCACCUAUGUGUCACUAAAUCUGUUGAAGAUUAAAUAAGAUUAGAAAAGCCUGGAGGAGGCCAAACUGAUGCUCGCCGUCCAGGAAGAGAUUACCACGACAACUGAGGCGGAGCCCACAGUCCCUGGCGUGGUGCGACUACACGUUAACAACUGGCUCGAGAUCCACAGGAUUGGUGGCACCUAUAUCCCCCCCGAGGCAUUAGAGCGCACCUAUAUCCCCCCCAUGCACUGCUGCUGCUGCUGGAAAGUGAGAAGGAACUGCUCGCCUGCGAUGGUGCGCCUCAUCACAACCUGCUCAGCGGUGAAAAACCUGCAGCAGCUCGCACAAGAUGCUGACCUGGCCUUAUUUCAAAUUUUUCAAAUUGCUGCUCACUUGGCUUAUUGGGGCAAAGCGAUCAUCAGCUACCUGCUGUGUGAGAACAAGGAGAGCAUGCCUGUCAGUGC